CGAACGCUGGCGGCAGGCCUAAUACAUGCAAGUCGAACGGCUCUUCGGAGCAGUGGCGGACGGGUGAGUAACGCGUGGGAAUGUGCCCUUUGGUACGGAACAACACAGGGAAACUUGUGCUAAUACCGUAUGUGCCCUUCGGGGGAAAGAUUUAUCGCCAUUGGAGCAGCCCGCGUUGGAUUAGGUAGUUGGUGAGGUAAAGGCUCACCAAGCCUACGAUCCAUAGCUGGUUUGAGAGGAUGACCAGCCACACUGGGACUGAGACACGGCCCGGCUUACUACAGGAGGCAGCAGUAGGGACUUUUGCGCAAUGGGAGAAAGCCUGACGCAGCCAUGCCGCGUGUAUGAUGAAGGUCUUAGGAUUGUAAAAUACUUUCACCGGGGGAGAUAAUGACGGUACCCGGAGAAGAAGCCCCGGCUAACUUCGUGCCAGCCGCCGCCGUAAUAC
rnacentral:rRNA from 1 species